rnacentral:rRNA from 1 species
AUGGCCCAAGAACACGCUCAUUCUUCAGUCGUAGAGAGACUUUUGAAUUGUGAGGUACCUUUACAAGCUCAAUAUAUAAGAGUGUUAUUCUGUGAAAUAACUCAAAUUUCAAACCAUUCACUUGUUUCAACUACUCAUGCUAUGGACGUGGGAGCAUCAACUCUGUUCCUUUGGGCUUUUGAGGAGUGGGAGAAAUUGUUGAAAUUCUAUGAAAGAGUCCCGGGAGCUAGUAUGCAUGCCAGUUUCAUACGACCUGGUGGAGUGGCACAAGAUCCACCUCUUGGCUUAUGUCGAGAUAUAUCCUCCACACAAUAAUUUGCUUCUCGUAUCGAUGAAUUGGAAGAGAUGUCAACCGAUAACCGUAUCUGGAAACAACGAUUAAUGGAUAUUGGUAGUGUCACUGCGCAGCAAGCAAAGGAUUAGGGAUUCAGUGGUGUACUGUUAAGAGGUCGGGCGACAUGA